rnacentral:pre_miRNA from 1 species
UAUAAGUGUGGUUGUGAUUUUUUUCUCCAACGUUUGACCAUCUGUCUUAUUUGAAAAAAAAUAUGAUUAGUAUUUUUAUUGUUAUUAGAUGAUAAAACAUGAAUAAUACUUUAUGUGUGACUUUUAUAAUUUUUUUUAAAAUUUUUUUAAAUAAGACGGACGGUCAAAUGUUAAACAUAGAAACCCACACCUGCACUUAUU